CUCGGGGAUGGCGGAUGAAUGGGGGUUAGCGUCCAACCUCCUUUCUCCGCUUCAGCCCCGCCCGCCCUGCUAUUCUCCUAGCCGCUUCUCCCGCACAACCUACCGGGGGAGAGGCGGGGGCUGGGGCUCCGGCCGCCCUAGGAGAUCCUCCCCUCCUCCCGCCUGCUUCCCCGCCUCGCUCCCUCUCCCGUCUUUUCUCUUUCCUCCUCUCUCCUCCCCACACCACCCCCGCCACUGGCCCCUCCCCGCCCUCUCCCACCUCCCUCCUCCCUCCCCCCUCCUCCCUCCGCGCCUGGGCCGCUGAAGGCUGAGUCAUCGCUGCGGCGCUGCCGGGAGAGCAGGCGAGCAGCUCACAUCCCACCGCGAUGUGGCCGACAGGAUUCCGGACUUUCGGGAGAAUAUGGUGGAAACUGGAGCUGUUCGCCGUGCACGGGGGUCCGCAGAUGUUUUUUGAUUGACCACUCAGUGCUAGGCACUGUGUUUGCUGCUGAGUGCUGGGCAGAGUGGGGAACAAGUUCCUAGCUCCUGCCCAUGAGGAGCUCACCGGGCAAAACAAAUACACCGUCUGACCAGCUGUCCCUCUGGCCUGCAGCCUGUGAGCAGCUGCAAGUUUACAGCUUUGACAUCCGCUUGAAAGAAC
rnacentral:lncRNA from 1 species